rnacentral:rRNA from 1 species
GAUGAACGCUGGCGGCGUGCCUAAUACAUGCAAGUCGAGCGAACAGAUGAGGAACUUGCUCCACUUAGGUUAGCGGCGGACGGGUGAGUAACACGUGGAUAACCUACCUAUAAGACUGGGAGAACAUCGGGAAACCGGUGCUAAUACCGCAUAAUAUAUUGAACCGCAUGGUUCAAUAGUGAAAGACGCUUUUGCAGUCACUUAUAGAUGUAUCCGGUUCUCAUUGGUUAGUUGGUAGGGUAACGGCUCACCAAGGCAACGAACCGUAGCCAACCUGAAGGGGUGUUCGGCCAAACUGGAACUGAGCCACGGUCCAAACUCCUACGGGAGGCAGCAGUGGGGAAUAUUCGACAAUGGGCGAAAGCCUGACGGAGCAACACCGCGUGGGUGAUGAAGGUCUUCGGUUCGUAAAACUCUUUUGUUGGGAAAGAAAAAAUGUAUAAUUAAAUACGCAUGUCUUGACGGUACCUAAUCAGAAAGCAACGGCUAACUACGUG